UGUGAGCUCGAUGAGUAGGGCGGGACACGUGGUAUCCUGUCUGAAUAUGGGGGGACCAUCCUCCAAGGCUAAAUACUCCUGACUGACCGAUAGUGAACCAGUACCGUGAGGGAAAGGCGAAAAGAACCCCGGCGAGGGGAGUGAAAAAGAACCUGAAACCGUGUACGUACAAGCAGUGGGAGCACGCUUAGGCGUGUGACUGCGUACCUUUUGUAUAAUGGGUCAGCGACUUAUAUUCUGUAGCAAGGUUAACCGAAUAGGGGAGCCGAAGGGAAACCGAGUCUUAACUGGGCGUUAAGUUGCAGGGUAUAGACCCGAAACCCGGUGAUCUAGCCAUGGGCAGGUUGAAGGUUGGGUAACACUAACUGGAGGACCGAACCGACUAAUGUUGAAAAAUUAGCGGAUGACUUGUGGCUGGGGGUGAAAGGCCAAUCAAACCGGGAGAUAGCUGGUUCUCCCCGAAAGCUAUUUAGGUAGCGCCUCGUGAAUUCAUCUCCGGGGGUAGAGCACUGUUUCGGCAAGGGGGUCAUCCCGACUUACCAACCCGAUGCAAACUGCGAAUACCGGAGAAUGUUAUCACGGGAGACACACGGCGGGUGCUAACGUCCGUCGUGAAGAGGGAAACAACCCAGACCGCCAGCUAAGGUCCCAAAGUCAUGGUUAAGUGGGAAACGAUGUGGGAAGGCCCAGACAGCCAGGAUGUUGGCUUAGAAGCAGCCAUCAUUUAAAGAAAGCGUAAUAGCUCACUGGUCGAGUCGGCCUGCGCGGAAGAUGUAACGGGGCUAAACCAUGCACCGAAGCUGCGGCAGCGACACUAUGUGUUGUUGGGUAGGGGAGCGUUCUGUAAGCCUGUGAAGGUGUGCUGUGAGGCAUGCUGGAGGUAUCAGAAGUGCGAAUGCUGACAUAAGUAACGAUAAAGCGGGUGAAAAGCCCGCUCGCCGGAAGACCAAGGGUUCCUGUCCAACGUUAAUCGGGGCAGGGUGAGUCGACCCCUAAGGCGAGGCCGAAAGGCGUAGUCGAUGGGAAACAGGUUAAUAUUCCUGUACUUGGUGUUACUGCGAAGGGGGGACGGAGAAGGCUAUGUUGGCCGGGCGACGGUUGUCCCGGUUUAAGCGUGUAGGCUGGUUUUCCAGGCAAAUCCGGAAAAUCAAGGCUGAGGCGUGAUGACGAGGCACUACGGUGCUGAAGCAACAAAUGCCCUGCUUCCAGGAAAAGCCUCUAAGCAUCAGGUAACAUCAAAUCGUACCCCAAACCGACACAGGUGGUCAGGUAGAGAAUACCAAGGCGCUUGAGAGAACUCGGGUGAAGGAACUAGGCAAAAUGGUGCCGUAACUUCGGGAGAAGGCACGCUGAUAUGUAGGUGAAGUCCCUUGCGGAUGGAGCUGAAAUCAGUCGAAGAUACCAGCUGGCUGCAACUGUUUAUUAAAAACACAGCACUGUGCAAACACGAAAGUGGACGUAUACGGUGUGACGCCUGCCCGGUGCCGGAAGGUUAAUUGAUGGGGUCAGCGCAAGCGAAGCUCUUGAUCGAAGCCCCGGUAAACGGCGGCCGUAACUAUAACGGUCCUAAGGUAGCGAAAUUCCUUGUCGGGUAAGUUCCGACCUGCACGAAUGGCGUAAUGAUGGCCAGGCUGUCUCCACCCGAGACUCAGUGAAAUUGAACUCGCUGUGAAGAUGCAGUGUACCCGCGGCAAGACGGAAAGACCCCGUGAACCUUUACUAUAGCUUGACACUGAACAUUGAGCCUUGAUGUGUAGGAUAGGUGGGAGGCUUUGAAGUGUGGACGCCAGUCUGCAUGGAGCCGACCUUGAAAUACCACCCUUUAAUGUUUGAUGUUCUAACGUUGACCCGUAAUCCGGGUUGCGGACAGUGUCUGGUGGGUAGUUUGACUGGGGCGGUCUCCUCCUAAAGAGUAACGGAGGAGCACGAAGGUUGGCUAAUCCUGGUCGGACAUCAGGAGGUUAGUGCAAUGGCAUAAGCCAGCUUGACUGCGAGCGUGACGGCGCGAGCAGGUGCGAAAGCAGGUCAUAGUGAUCCGGUGGUUCUGAAUGGAAGGGCCAUCGCUCAACGGAUAAAAGGUACUCCGGGGAUAACAGGCUGAUACCGCCCAAGAGUUCAUAUCGACGGCGGUGUUUGGCACCUCGAUGUCGGCUCAUCACAUCCUGGGGCUGAAGUAGGUCCCAAGGGUAUGGCUGUUCGCCAUUUAAAGUGGUACGCGAGCUGGGUUUAGAACGUCGUGAGACAGUUCGGUCCCUAUCUGCCGUGGGCGCUGGAGAACUGAGGGGGGCUGCUCCUAGUACGAGAGGACCGGAGUGGACGCAUCACUGGUGUUCGGGUUGUCAUGCCAAUGGCACUGCCCGGUAGCUAAAUGCGGAAGAGAUAAGUGCUGAAAGCAUCUAAGCACGAAACUUGCCCCGAGAUGAGUUCUCCCUGACUCCUUGAGAGUCCUGAAGGAACGUUGAAGACGACGACGUUGAUAGGCCGGGUGUGUAAGCGCAGCGAUGCGUUGAGCUAACCGGUACUAAUGAACCGUGAGGCUUAACCUU
rnacentral:rRNA from 1 species